ACGAACGCUGGCGGCGUGCCUAAUACAUGCAAGUAGAACGCUGAAGAGAGGAGCUUGCUCUUCUUGGAUGAGUUGCGAACGGGUGAGUAACGCGUAGGUAACCUGCCUUGUAGCGGGGGAUAACUAUUGGAAACGAUAGCUAAUACCGCAUAACAAUGGAUGACACAUGUCAUUUAUUUGAAAGGGGCAAAUGCUCCACUACAAGAUGGACCUGCGUUGUAUUAGCUAGUAGGUGAGGUAACGGCUCACCUAGGCGACGAUACAUAGCCGACCUGAGAGGGUGAUCGGCCACACUGGGACUGAGACACGGCCCAGACUCCUACGGGAGGCAGCAGUAGGGAAUCUUCGGCAAUGGGGGCAACCCUGACCGAGCAACGCCGCGUGAGUGAAGAAGGUUUUCGGAUCGUAAAGCUCUGUUGUAAGUCAAGAACGAGUGUGAGAGUGGAAAGUUCACACUGUGACGGUAGCUUACCAGAAAGGGACGGCUAACUACGUGCCAGCAGCCGCGGUAAUACGUAGGUCCCGAGCGUUGUCCGGAUUUAUUGGGCGUAAAGCGAGCGCAGGCGGUUUGAUAAGUCUGAAGUUAAAGGCUGUGGCUCAACCAUAGUUCGCUUUGGAAACUGUCAAACUUGAGUGCAGAAGGGGAGAGUGGAAUUCCAUGUGUAGCGGUGAAAUGCGUAGAUAUAUGGAGGAACACCGGUGGCGAAAGCGGCUCUCUGGUCUGUAACUGACGCUGAGGCUCGAAAGCGUGGGGAGCGAACAGGAUUAGAUACCCUGGUAGUCCACGCCGUAAACGAUGAGUGCUAGGUGUUGGAUCCUUUCCGGGAUUCAGUGCCGCAGCUAACGCAUUAAGCACUCCGCCUGGGGAGUACGACCGCAAGGUUGAAACUCAAAGGAAUUGACGGGGGCCCGCACAAGCGGUGGAGCAUGUGGUUUAAUUCGAAGCAACGCGAAGAACCUUACCAGGUCUUGACAUCCCGAUGCUAUUUCUAGAGAUAGAAAGUUACUUCGGUACAUCGGUGACAGGUGGUGCAUGGUUGUCGUCAGCUCGUGUCGUGAGAUGUUGGGUUAAGUCCCGCAACGAGCGCAACCCCUAUUGUUAGUUGCCAUCAUUCAGUUGGGCACUCUAGCGAGACUGCCGGUAAUAAACCGGAGGAAGGUGGGGAUGACGUCAAAUCAUCAUGCCCCUUAUGACUUGGGCUACACACGUGCUACAAUGGUUGGUACAACGAGUUGCGAGUCGGUGACGGCAAGCUAAUCUCUUAAAGCCAAUCUCAGUUCGGAUUGUAGGCUGCAACUCGCCUACAUGAAGUCGGAAUCGCUAGUAAUCGCGGAUCAGCACGCCGCGGUGAAUACGUUCCCGGGCCUUGUACACACCGCCCGUCACACCACGAGAGUUUGUAACACCCGAAGUCGGUGAGGUAACCUUUUGGAGCCAGCCGCCUAAGGUGGG
rnacentral:rRNA from 1 species